UUUUUUUUUUUUUUUUUUGAGACGGAGUCUUGCUGUCGCCCAGGCUGGAGUGCAGUGGCGCCAUCUCGGCUCACUGCAGGCUCCGCCCCCGGGGUUCACACCAUUCUCCUGCCUCAGCCUCCCGAGUAGCUGGGACUACAGGCGCCCGCCACCUCGCCUGGCUAAUUUUUUGUAUUUUUAGUAGAGACGGGGUUUCACUGUGUUAGCCAGGUUGGUCUUGAUCUGCUGACCUCGUGAUCCGCCCGCCUCAGCCUUCCAAAGUGCUGGGAUUACAGGCGUGAGCCACCGUGCGCAGCCUCUGUACUCUUAAUACUAAGAGUAGCACCAUAUCAGGAACUGGCAUGAGACUGAAACCAGAGCACUUACAGUUCUCUGGCUAAAACAUCUGCUGCCUACUGUUGAAUGUAACAACAUCAAGUCAGUUUCCGGAAGAAAAAUCGUGAAAGAUGCUCUCACUUCUUCUGGGAUCUCAAACUUAGACCAUGGCCUGGGCUGCCUGCCUGCGUGUUACUAUAUUUCAUCAAUUCUAAAAAUGUACAUUUUUAUUUUGCAUUUAACAAAUCUUUCCGGGUGUCACUUAUAGUCAGUGGCAUAUUAGCAUGACCGUUGAUAGGCAGCUUUUUUUCUGAGUGAUAGAUAAAAUAAUGGUACGUCUUAGAGUCAAAGUGUUAACAGUUGGUAAAAUACAGUUCAUCUUUUCCUCUCUCAAAUGUUUCUCUGGUUUGCUUUUCUAUAGUAGCUUUUCAACCCUCAAAAGUUUUCUUUAUUGCUGGACCCUCCUACAGAUGAUCAGGGUUAGGAUGAGGUGUUUUCUGCAGCAUACUUGUCUAUAAGUCACACCCUUUUGGAAAAUGAAAAUCAGGUAAAAUUAAAGGGAAUAUAAAAUAGUGGUUGGGAGCACAGGCCUGGAACUGCAUUUGAAGCUUGGCUCUGUAGCUGGAUGAUCUUUGUAAGUUACAUAUCCUCUCUGCUUCAUUUUCAUCAUUUUUAAAAUGAAGAUAAUCAUACUUCACUGUGUCUUUGUGAGCGUUAGGUUCCCCUCCUUGAGAUUUUCCCAUAAAACAUUUCAGCAGCUUCUGCCCCUACACAUAGUCACAGUUACACUUUUAAACCAACGUUCUGGGAUUACGGGCGUGAGCCACUGCACCCAGCCUGCCAAGGGCUUUUUAAACCAUAAGCUUCUCUACGAUCCUAAGUGACCUGAAAACACAGUCUUAGAACAUAUCAGCCAUUUGGAGUGGGGUGGGAGUUGCUUUGCAAGCUCAACCUAAUCAAAUGAUGGGGUGUCAGUUAUUACUCAUUUUUCAUCUCCACCAUCCUGUAUCCCCUAAGUCUUCUUUUCUCCAAAACAGACAUUUCCUGGUUUCUUCAACUAUUUUUUGUAAAUCUUUCUACAUAUGUUUUUAGGACAACCUCAUUUGCCUUCUCUUGAGUAUUUAAUGUCCCCUAUAAAGUAAAAUGUCAAGUACUGUAUACAAUAACUACAAGAGUAGUUAAGCAGUUAUAGCUCUACAUUUCAUAACUUGAUAUUCGAUUUUCAUUCAUUCAGUGAUCCUAAGAUUACACCUUUUUGAGUUGAAUUAGAAUUUCUUACUCUUUUUCACGGAUCAAGUGGUGUGUGUUAGUGGGCAUGUGUUGUCUUUGGAUGCCCACCAUUGAUUUCUCUUUCUCCUGGUAACUGCAUCAUGAUUUUUCCUUGGCCAGUGCUUUUCUACCCUCAGUCUCUGUACCCGGAGAUAGAAAUAAUAACCCAGGACUAAACAAUCGUGUUCCAAUCCCUGUCACCAAAGUGACCGGAUCUUUUGCUUAAGCUAUUGGGGUUGCAAGUGUUGAUAUGAUAAAAGCCUUAAAUUACUACUGAAGGAAGCCAACAUGGAGGAAAGCGGAACUGAGCAACACGGGGAGAAAAAUGAAGUCUUUGUGACAUCAUUUGAGUCCAGCUUCCUUGUGCCUAAACCUGGCUUUAACCUGUACUUUUCAGUUUGACAAAAAUAAAACCAGAUCAAGUUGGAACAAUUUAGAAGUUUUUAAAAUACAGGCCAUGAUCUGGGGAACUUCAAACUGAAAGCAUUAAGAAGCUCAGCCCACAGCAGUUACAGCACAGUUUAUUAAGUGAGAAUGAGAAAGAACAUUAUUCCCUAUCAUGAUGGGCUACUUGAAACUUAUCUUUUCAAGCCGCUGUGCUCUAUAAGCUUACCUAUUGAUAGCUAAUUAGCUGGAAAUUGUAAGGUCAUGCUGACCUGGGAAAGCUUAAAUUGUGUUUAUGGUUACAGCUAGUAUUACAGGGGAAUCAGGACAGUUUUAAUUUUCCCACUACCCACAAAUCAGGAGUGAGAUGAAUGUCGUGAUUAUUUUUUGGCAUGUUGGCGUGUGCACAUUGUCAGUUUGAAUGAUUGUGGUUUAAACCAGGAUAGGAGCAAAAAACACUUCUUUGAAUUGGAUAAAUAAUCUAUGCAUUCAGUCAUAAAUUAAAUAUGAUUAACUCCCUUUCUUGGUAUGUCCUGUAUAUUGAUCUAUCCAGCAUCCAAAACUGUUAUCUACCUUACAUAGUGGUACGUUUGAGGCAUUCCAUUUACCUACAGUUUCCAUUGAGCCAAUGUAUGGGUUUCAGUAGGUUCCUUAAUGAUGUAACAUUGUCAAUUUUUAAUGAUGUUAUGUUGUUAUGUAUAGAAGUCCAGUCUCCAUCAUCUGAAUCAAACCAAAGGAUUUAAUUACAGAGUGAAUCUGGGACCUUACCUAAGUUAGAUCUAGUACCAUUAAGGCUUUCUAUGCAUACAGAUAAGUCACCAGUAAUAAAACUUAGAGUAACUAGAAGCUAUCCCAUGGCUUCCAGUGCUUCUUCCCAAUGCCAAACCAGCUGGCCAUGAGUAUUAGUCAGAUGACUUAUGUUAAACCUUUUUGUAAAGUCAUUUUCCUGAAUGGGUCAACAAAUCAUAUGUUUGUUUGUUUGCUUUCAGAGGUAAGGCCAAGGGUGACAGUUAUGGGUUCCAACAGAGAAACUCUUUGUAUUUGAUAGGAAACUCCCAUUACUAAGAUAUUUUUAUUAUUCCAAGGAUGUUCUUGAUGUAUCAUAGUGGGAUUAAGAAUAAAGAAUUACUCUAGUAACUGCCAACACAGUACACGUUUCUCUAUUUAUUUUAAGUUAGUUUCUCCUUGUUGAUUUAAAGGAAUUAUUGAAAGUUGCUUACAUGGAGAUUCCUUGGAGCUCUAUCAACAUGGACAAUUAUCACCAGAGGUGGGAGGUUGAGGGUCUCCCUUUUGUGCUAUGUCACAUGGUCCAUACUGCUGUUUAAAUACUUUUUCCAAAUUACUUUCUGUUUGUGAUAACCGUAAGUGUCUUUAUCAAAAGAGUUAUAAAAGUCUUUUAAAGUUAGGGCAGGACUCCUGCAAUUGUAAUUGCAAGGUCAUUAAUUUGCAUAACCCCGUGGUUUCUUUCCUGUUCCGAUGUUCCCUGAAGAUGUUCGGCUAAAUGUUGUAACUCCACCAAAGGAGUAACUUCCUAUUCUAGUGUAUGAUUCUUCAAUAAAUCACUUAUCUCUGUAUGCAAUCUAUUAACAAAAUGGGAUUACAAGACUAAUUCAUCAUCUCAGCCAUUAAAGCCAGAGUG
rnacentral:lncRNA from 10 species